UACGGAGGGGACUAGCGUUGUUCGGAAUUACUGGGCGUAAAGCGUACGCAGACGGCCACGCAGGUCGGGUGUGAAAGCCCCGGGCUCAACCCGGGAAUUGCAUUCGAAACCAUGUGGCUCGAGUGUGGGAGAGGGUAGUGGAAUUCCUGGUGUAGAGGUGAAAUUCGUAGAUAUCAGGAGGAACACCGGCGGCGAAGGCGGCUACCUGGUCCACAACUGACGUUCAGGUACGAAAGCGUGGGGAGCAAACAGG
rnacentral:rRNA from 1 species